rnacentral:rRNA from 1 species
AUUGAACGCUGGCGGCAGGCCUAACACAUGCAAGUCGAACGAGUGGCGGACGGGUGAGUAAUGUCUGGGCAACUGCCCGAUGGAGGGGGAUAACUACUGGAAACGGUGGCUAAUCCCGCAUACCAUCAGAUGUGCCCAGCUGGGAUUAGCUAGUUGGUGGGGUAACGGCUCACCAAGGCGACGAUCCCUAGCUGGUCUGAGAGGAUGAACAGCCAAACUGGAACGGAGACACGGUCCAGACUCCUACGGUAGGCAGCAGUGGGGAAUAUUGCACAAUGGGCGCAAGCCGGAUGCAGCCAUGCCGCGUGUAUGAAGAAGGCCUUCGGGUUGUAAAGUACUUUCAGCGGGGAGGCGUUACCCGCAGAAGAAGCACCGGCUAACUCCGUGCCAGCAGCCGCGGUAAUUC